CAACUGUAUAGAAGACAACUGUGCGUUAAUUGUAAAUCCAGUAAUCGACCUUCUUGGCCUCCUUCGAUUCUUCCCUUCCACUUGGAACCUCCUAAUUGAAGUAACGAAACCCUAACCCAGCUCCAACCUCUGCCAUAUAUAUAUAUCUAAUGGAAGAUUCUAAAUCAAACACAAGCGACGACGAAGAUCGUUUCUUCGACGCUGCUGAUGAAUUCCCAUUCUACGAUUGCGUCGACACCGACGAAUCAGAUCAACCUAUUUCACACGCUUCCUCAAUUUCUCAGCUUGUACCAAUCGAACCCAUCAAGUCCCCAUCGGAAAUUGUUUCUCCGACUGGACUCCGGCGCCGGAGAUCCUUCUCUCAACACAUUCGCAAAGACAUCUCCGGCAAUGAUUCCAAAAGGUCAAACCCUGAUCCUUCGGUAAGUUCCGAAACCAAUCAGACUCAUGACGCCAUUACCACUACUACUACGCCUAGGGAAAGAAAGUACAGAUUUUCCAGGAAUUUGAAGGAAAGUGAGGGGGAGGGCGAGAAAUCGGAGUCAUUUAAGGUUCGGUUCAGCUCAGGAAGAGCCAGUGAUAGCAUAAACGAAGAGAACAAAGAGAAUUCUACUAUAACGGCUGCGAAUGGUGAAAGAAUUGAUGAGUCUGUUGCAGUUGAUUCACGUCCAGGUGAAAUUGAUGAGUCUUCGAAUUUUCUGUUUCUCUUAGCUAAAUUGCUGAUUAAAGCCAUCGGUUUUCAAAUCAGUUUAUUAGUUAGCUUUUUCACAUUUCCAAUAUGGAUAUUGUAUUGCUCAUACAUGUUUGUGAUUGAUCCAUUUCGAGCUGUAAGGCGUGGGAGAGAGUAUUUGACAGGGAAGUUGUUGAGAGUGUGGGGUGUUGUGUGUGAAAAUGUUACACCUUUCGUAUAUGAAUGGUUGAAGGAACAUAAAUCAACAUGGAUGUUGGCAUUGCGGUUUGGCUGGGGAUUGUUGUGGUCGGCUUAUGUUUGCUUCAUUUUGGUCAGUUUACUGGUUUUGGCAUUUGUAGUAAGUGGUAUUAUGAUGAGGUUCUUGGUGGAGGAGCCUAUUCGGAUAAAGGAGACACUGAAUUUCGAUUAUACAAAGAACAGUCCUGUUGCGCUUGUGCCAAUAAUAUCUUGUCUGGAUGCAUCUAGCAGUGAGUAUCAUAAGGAAAAAAAUGAGGUAGAAAGGAUUGGGGGGCCACGGGUUGUACAUGCAAAUCACAAAUUGCAGGCUACUGUUUCAUUGACAUUACCAGAGUCGGAUUACAACAGAAAUCUCGGGAUCUUUCAGGUCAAGGUAGACUUCCUCUCUGCUAAUGGGAAGGCCCUUGCAAGUUCACGCCGUCCAUGCAUGCUGCAAUUCAAAAGCCAGCCUAUCCGUCUGCUAUUGACUUUCCUUAAGGUUGCUCCUCUUGUUGCUGGUUAUGUAUCGGAAUCCCAAACUCUGGACAUAAAAUUUAGUGGUUUUAUUGAAAGAGAGAUACCUACUGCCUGCUUACAGGUGGUAAUUGAACAAAGAGCAGAAUAUCGGCCUGGUGCUGGUAUCCCUGAAAUAUAUGCUGCAUCUCUAAUACUCGAGUCAGAACUUCCACUGCUGAAAAGGAUUUUGUGGUAUUGGAAGAAAACAAUUUUUAUAUGGAUUAGCAUGAUGAUUUUCACAAUGGAAUUAUUCUUUACUCUACUAUGCUGCAAACCUAUAAUUAUUCCAAGGGUAAGGCUGAGGGAUGGUUCUGCUAACAAUAGUGCUCCUCAAAACAAUCACCCAGUUCAAAGGUAGCUUUUAGACGUUGGCUUCUGAGGACUUUUGUGAUGAUAGAAGUAAUGGUUUGAUCUUUCAUGGCUGUUGUGGAUUGGCAUGAGGAGAUUCUGGGGAGUUCAAAAAAAUGUUAUGUGGACAUAUUUGCUUGCAGUGUUGCUUUAUUCUUAUUAUUUAUUUAUUAAUUUGUUUCCUUUUUCCUAUUUACAGCUAUAUUAUUGAUGCGAGCAUGGCACUUGUAAUUCUUUUUCCUUAAUUUCCUGUGCAUGUCUAAUUGUAUGUUUUGCAUUGAUAAAUUCUGUAAAUAGAUAAUAGAAGGCAGUGAUGAUGUAACUCAAUGAAAUCCUUCGUCACCUGGAGAUAAACCACCUGUAUUAUAGGCUUAUCACUUUUUAUUAAGGUAACUAUGCACAAGUGGCUACAUUUUCAAUAGGCUGUGGCUAAUAUGGCCUGUAUAUUGUCUUUUAGGGAUAUAUGUGGCUAAUAAUUAUAUCAACUCCAAGUACAUUAUGCAUUUGUUUAGCUUGUUGCAAGUCUGGUGUUUGAAUGACCAGUUAUGUGCAUGAUGCCUAUUUAGUCUUAACACUCCUCUGCCCCCCGAAAAAAACCCUAAGAUGUUACAGAGACUGUUGGUAGUAUCUGUUGGAUGGCACUAAAGAUUGGGUUAGGGCACUUGUGUGUGAAUAGCAACCAUAUCACUUGAACUUGUAUAUUACAUCCCUUCGUUUCAGAUCUCCGUAGCACGUGAGAUAUUUUGAUUGCAUGAACAUAGAAUAGGGGUUCCUCUCCACAUAGUAUUUGACUAGGUAUGCAGUAAUAUUUCUCGAUUAAU